UACGAAGGGGGCUAGCGUUGCUCGGAAUCACUGGGCGUAAAGCGCACGUAGGCGGAUUGCUAAGUCAGGGGGUGAAAUCCUGGAGCUCAACUCCAGAACUGCCCUUUGAUACUGGCGAUCUUGAGUCCGGGAGAGGUGAGUGGAACUGCGAGUGUAGAGGUGAAAUUCGUAGAUAUUCGCAAGAACACCAGUGGCGAAGGCGGCUCACUGGCCCGGUACUGACGCUGAGGUGCGAAAGCGUGGGGAGCAAACAGG
rnacentral:rRNA from 1 species